rnacentral:rRNA from 1 species
CAAAGGUGAGCCAGUACAGGAUGGACCCGCGUCUGAUUAGCUAGUUGGUAAGGUAACGGCUUACCAAGGCGACGAUCAGUAGCCGACCUGAGAGGGUGAUCGGCCACAUUGGAACUGAGACACGGUCCAAACUCCUACGGGAGGCAGCAGUGGGGAAUAUUGCACAAUGGGCGAAAGCCUGAUGCAGCAACGCCGCGUGAGUGAUGAAGGCCUUCGGGUCGUAAAACUCUGUCCUCAAGGAAGAUAAUGACGGUACUUGAGGAGGAAGCCCCGGCUAACUACGUGCCAGCAGCCGCGGUAAUACGUAGGGGGCUAGCGUUAUCCGGAUUUACUGGGCGUAAAGGGUGCGUAGGCGGUCUUUCAAGUCAGGAGUGAAAGGCUACGGCUCAACCGUAGUAAGCUCUUGAAACUGGGAGACUUGAGUGCAGGAGAGGAGAGUGGAAUUCCUAGUGUAGCGGUGAAAUGCGUAGAUAUUAGGAGGAACACCAGUUGCGAAGGCGGCUCUCUGGACUGUAACUGACGCUGAGGCACGAAAGCGUGGGGAGCAAACAGGAUUAGAUACCCUGGUAGUCCACGCUGUAAACGAUGAGUACUAGGUGUCGGGGGUUACCCCCUUCGGUGCCGC